ensembl:lncRNA
UGUAGUGUGCAUCUUAAUUUCUGAUUAGAACAAAUCUGAUCAUCUGAGUUUCUGGUGGAGGUCUUCAGUUAAUGCUGUUAUGUACAUUUGUGUCAUUAAUCAUGGGCAGGUCAUAUUUCACCCCAAAACCAAGAAACUGUGUAAAGAUGUAAUUUAAGAAUUAUUUCUGUUGUUGUUGUAGUUCAUUAGUCAAUCCCUCCUAUAUUUCAGAAACCACAGCAAACAUAUACAGAGAAUAUUCGUUCAAUCGUAAUAACAUUUGUAAAGUAUAAUGUUAGCAUUUGUUGUGCUUUCAGUUUAAUUCUGAUUUUAUUUUAAAUGUUGUAGUAUUGUGUCUAACAGGAGGAUCUUCAUUACUGCAUCACAGCACAGCUUCAGAGCUGAUUGUGGUUCCUCUGGAAGCUCACAGGAUCAGAGAGCUCGGUCUUGUUUGUUCAAAGUCACAGAAACCCGAUCUUCAGGCGAGCAGAUAUUAAUAGUGUGUGUGGGAUCUCCUGAGAGCCUGUGUUUGGCGUGUAAUCGAACCCUUGGCUCUGGGGUCAGUCGUCCACCGCAGGAACUGCUCAAUCUCAGAUCACAGGAGCACAUUCUCAGCAGAGACUCUGAUCAGUUCUCAGAAGGAUGGAGAUCUGGACUGAUGUUGGAUGGAAAGCACAUCUUGUAUCUUUGUAAUGUGUUUUCAGCUGGAAGGUUGGGAUGUUCUUCAUGUGCUGUAAAAAAGAUUCUAAAAUAAAGUAAAAUAAUUAUUUUAGAGUACAUAUUGCAAUAAAAAAACAAAACAAAUCCA